CUUUAAGCGCACGGGGAUUUCCAAAACUUAGUUCCACAUUCGAACACUGCCGAGCCUUCUUCAGCACCUGCACGCCCAACAUUUUCGUGUUUUCACAUUCAAGUCUUUUGUGCGUUCGUCGAAGGAUGGCAGAACGUUUACGUCCUGUUAACAUCGUCCGGAUUAGGCCUAGAUUAGCAAUUGUUUUGGCAGGCCUCUUGAUUUCCUUAGCAAUUGAAGGUCGUGCCAAAGAACUCGACAAAAACAAUGGGAUCAUGUUGCCCGACAAGGAGCAGCAAGUGUUUACAGCUUUGGCCAACAUUAGCGUGACGUGCAUCUUCAUCCACACAGCCGAGAUCAAAUGGAAUAUUCCCGACUACCUUACGAAAACACCCGGGAUUAGUGCAAUGAACGAGCGUUUGAAUUUCACUUUCGAGAAGAACGAAACUCACGUCUGGUCAACGAUGAGCCUCAUCAAAGCCAGGGCAAGAGACACUGGCUAUUACGAAUGCUACUUACCUUUGUUUAAUGAAGUGCGAGUGAAGCAGUACAUCUACGUUUACAACAGAAGAGAUGCAGUCAUUAUGGAAGAGGAAUUGGUCAAAUUUCGAUUUGAAAUGGGCGAAGAUGCUUUGGUACCCUGCAACCCCACUCACCCUGAUGUCAAUGUGCAGUUGAAACGAUCCCCUCAGUUGGUCAUCGGGCAUCUAUCGAAGGAGGAAUUGCAGCGAGAUUUGUUGUCCGGUCCGUCUCGACAUUGGUUCCGGCAACAGUUCAAAGGACUGCGUCACAGGAACGUGAGCCUGGACGAUUUCGGAAGUUACCAAUGCAUCGGCCUGCUCAAAAACAGUACGGGCAAGCCGACCGACAAAAGAUUUAAUCUGAUAGUGUCUGGGCUUGAUCUGACUAGAAAUGGCAGUGAUGCUCGUGAUCCUGUGGAGGGAAGUAACGUCGUUUUGAUAUGUCGCGCCUACGCCCUUUCAUCUCCACCACGCUGGACGUAUUAUCAGAGUGUCGACGACACCGCAGAAGAACAGGUUAACAUUAGUGAAAGCGAGACGCCAUCCGAAUUGGGUAUGGAAAUCAAUACGACAAAAUUGACCGUUCAGGGAGAGUCAGAAUCGUAUUACGUGAGCAUUUUGGAAUUGUCUAAUGUCACUGCGAAUUCCCCCCAAAAGUUUGGAUGUUGGGCGAUGAAUAAGCGAGACAAAAUCGAACUGGCAACCGUUUCCUUCCAAGUCACACGGGCUCGCGUUCCCGUCAUAGCAACGAGAAACAAUUCGACUACAUCCAUCGAAGUGGUGUUGGUUAAAGGACAAGCGCGGAAUUUAACGUGCACUGGAUACGCAUCGCCUCGACCCAAGAUCCAGUGGCUCAAGGAUGGUAUAGAACACUUUGAUGAAGUUUAUUCCAGCGGCAAUGCGACUGUGUUGACCCUCCAAGGCACGGAAGAAGAAGUCGGUUCGUACGCUUGCCGCUGGAGUAACUACCUGGGCCAAAGUUUCAAAAAUUUCACCGUUACCUUUGCUGAGGAGCCGGACGACAUCGGUAAUACAGUUGUGAUUGCUGUUGGCACGUUGACGGUGGUCAUCAUUCUGGCUUCGAUUCUGAUUGGCAUCAGACUCUACCUUGACAAGAAAGGCAACUUGUUUCCGGGCGCUCAAGCUCUGCUCAAAGGCAAACCAAAGGAAUUGAACGAUCAUCUCAGUUUGGACGAGCAAAUCGAAAUUUUGCCUUACGACACGCGAUGGGAAUUUCCCAGACAUCGACUCAAACUCGGUGUACAGUUGGGCGCUGGAUGUUUCGGCCGGGUGGUCAAAGCUCAAGCUGUCGGCGUUAAAGACUCGGAGGAAACUGUCAAAACAGUGGCGGUGAAGAUGGUGCGAUCGCAGACUAACGUGGCUGCCCUGGAAGCUCUGGUCGGUGAAUUGAAAAUCAUGAUACACCUGGGGGCCCACCUGAAUGUUGUCAAUCUAUUGGGAGCUUGCACGAAAAGCGUCAUCAAAGGAGAACUGCUAGUCAUUGUCGAGUAUUGUCGAUUUGGGAAUUUGCAAACUUACCUCGUCGGCCACCGCACGGAUUUCGAGAACCAAGUCGACGAGUUCGGCAAUCUCUUGACGGAUGCAGAAAUGCAAGAAAUGGACCGUUCCAGAAAUGGAAACGCGAAUAAUCAAGACCAGAUUCAAACGUCAUCUUCUCAAGCCAAUUUGAUCGAUCAAGAUGUUUCUGCUUGCCCAGAAGGUUCAUCCUCGUCGUCUUCCAGUGGGGAAGUCUCUCCAGGUGCAGACACGUUCGGAUUUUAUCAACAAGACCCGGAAAAUAAAGUGAGCCAUUCCGUUUCGACAGCCGAUCUGAUCUCUUGGUCGUUCCAAAUCGCCAGAGGAAUGGAUUAUUUGGCCAGCAGAAAAGUUCUUCAUGGCGAUUUGGCAGCCCGUAAUGUUCUGCUGGCCGAUGGCGGAGUUGCCAAAGUGGCGGAUUUCGGAAUGUCUCGCAACAUGUAUUACGAAGGAAAUUAUCAGAAAGAAUCGCAGGGUUUGAUGCCCGUCAAAUGGAUGGCCAUUGAAUCUCUGACGGAUCGCCGUUUCUCCACUCAGUCUGACGUCUGGUCGUACGGCGUUCUUCUUUGGGAAAUCUUCACCUUAGGCAAAGUGCCAUAUCCAGGUAUGGAAGCCAAUCACGAACUCAUACGGCAACUGGAGAAAGGCUACCGAAUGGAGAAACCCGAUUUUGCGCCCAAUUAUUUCGGAGAAAUCAUGGCGAGUUGUUGGAAAUCGGACCCGAAGGAGAGACCAACAUUCAGCCACAUGGAGCAGCAGAUCAGCCUUCAAAUGGAGUCGACCGUCAGUGAUCACUAUUUAAAUUUGAACCAAUCGUACGAAAAAUUGAACCAAGAGAAAGUGAGUGCUCCGGCCAACGAACCGUUGGGUCUGGCCAAAGCUCUGGACUUUAAAAAAGAGAAAUUUAGUCGAUCGAGUUCAGUGUGCGAUGUGCAAACCAAGAAACCAGUCUGGAAUGGAAUCAGUUUGCGGAGAAUCUCUGAAGAAAGGACUAAUAUCGAAGCAUUGCCACAACAAAAGACUCAGAUAAGCAACCAAUACGUUUAGGGUUGGAGUCUUGGGCUUUCUUGUUGCCGGAUCACCUAUACUUGGCCAGCGGAUAGAGUACGUAGUUGUCUGUAAAAUGAGAUUUCGCACUGAAGGAAUGUCAUUGAUUACCGUCAAUGUGACGUAGGCCUAGCAGACGAGUAUUAGCAGACUACGUCUUCUAUGCGGAUUACGGUCUCCGUCGACCAUGUCUGCUUGUGGAUUGAAAGUCAUGAAAGGUCACAUUUUCAAUCAUCAAUUAUUGAACUACCAAGUAAAACUCGAUCAUUGUCAUUUGUAUAAAUUUAUUUUCUUUUAUUGUUUCAUUUACUGUGUCAUCGUAACUGAGAUGCAGUAAACAUAAUACAUUUAGCUAUACCUUUUGA
rnacentral:misc_RNA from 1 species